GACGAACGCUGGCGGCGUGCUUAACACAUGCAAGUCGAACGGAAAGGCCCCUUUGGGGGUACUCGAGUGGCGAACGGGUGAGUAACACGUGAGUAACCUGCCCUUGACUUCGGGAUAACUUCAGGAAACUGGGGCUAAUACCGGAUAGGAAUCCUUGCUGCAUGGUGGGGGUUGGAAAGCUUCGGCGGUUUUGGAUGGACUCGCGGCUUAUCAGCUUGUUGGUGGGGGAGUGGCUUACCAAGGCUUUGACGGGUAGCCGGCCUGAGAGGGCGACCGGCCACAUUGGGACUGAGAUACGGCCCAGACGCCUACGGGAGGCAGCAGUGGGGAAGAUUGCACAAUGGGCGGAAGCCGGAUGCAGCAACGCCGCGUGCGGGAUGACGGCCUUCGGGUUGUAAACCGCUUUCAGCAGGGGCGAAGCUUGUGGUGACGGUACCUGCAGAAGAAGCACCGGCUAACUACGUG
rnacentral:rRNA from 1 species